GCCGGGUGUGGUGGUGUGCGCCUGUAAUCCCAGCUACUCAGGAGGCUGAGGCAGGAGAAUCACUUGAACCUGGGAGGCAGAGGUUGCAGUGAGCUGAGAUCACACCAUUGCCCUCCAGCCUGGGUGACAAAGUGAGAUUCUGUCUCAA
rnacentral:sRNA from 1 species